rfam:Beta vulgaris subsp. vulgaris Bvchr4.sca001.con0111.1, whole genome shotgun sequence.
AACUAGCUAAUUAUUCAAUUUGAGAGGAGAUUGAUACAUCUAUCCGUUGGAAAGUUUUGGCACCUCGAUUUCUGCUCUUCGCCACUUGGGGUUGUAGUAUGUUUCAAGGGUUGGGUUGUUUGCCCAACAAAGCGGUAUGUGAGCUGGGUUCAGAACAUUGUGAAACAAUUC